rnacentral:rRNA from 1 species
GACGAACGCUGGCGGCGUGCUUAACACAUGCAAGUCGAACGAAGAUAUGUUGAAAGCUUGCUGAUGCAUAUUUAGUGGCGGACGGGUGAGUAACGCGUGAGGACUUGUCUAGUACAGGGGGACAACAGUUGGAAACGGCUGCUAAUGCCCCAUAAGCCUAAGGGUAAAAGGAGCAAUCCGGUACAUGAGAGACUCGCGUCCUAUCAGCUAGUAGGUGGGUAACGGCCCACCUAGGCGAAGACGGGUAGCCGGCCUGAGAGGGCGAACGGCCACACUGGAACUGAGACACGGUCCAGACUCCUACGGGAGGCAGCAGUGGGGAAUAUUGGGCAAUGGAGGGAACUCUGACCCAGCGACGCCGCGUGAGUGAAGAAAUCCCUCGGGAUGUAAAGCUCUGCUGUGUGGGAAGAUAAUGACGGUACCACACGAGGAAGCCCGGCAAACUACGUAGCCAGCAGCCGCGGUAAU